rnacentral:rRNA from 1 species
GGUGAGUAACACGUGGAUAACCUACCUAUAAGACUGGGAUAACUUCGGGAAACCGGAGCUAAUACCGGAUAAUAUUUUGAACCGCAUGGUUCAAAAGUGAAAGACGGUCUUGCUGUCACUUAUAGAUGGAUCCGCGCUGCAUUAGCUAGUUGGUAAGGUAACGGCUUACCAAGGCAACGAUGCAUAGCCGACCUGAGAGGGUGAUCGGCCACACUGGAACUGAGACACGGUCCAGACUCCUACGGGAGGCAGCAGUAGGGAAUCUUCCGCAAUGGGCGAAAGCCUGACGGAGCAACGCCGCGUGAGUGAUGAAGGUCUUCGGAUCGUAAAACUCUGUUAUUAGGGAAGAACAUAUGUGUAAGUAACUGUGCACAUCUUGACGGUACCUAAUCAGAAAGCCACGGCUAACUACGUGCCAGCAGCCGCGGUAAUACGUAGGUGGCAAGCGUUAUCCGGAAUUAUUGGGCGUAAAGCGCGCGUAGGCGGUUUUUUAAGUCUGAUGUGAAAGCCCACGGCUCAACCGUGGAGGGUCAUUGGAAACUGGAAAACUUGAGUGCAGAAGAGGAAAGUGGAAUUCCAUGUGUAGCGGUGAAAUGCGCAGAGAUAUGGAGGAACACCAGUGGCGAAGGCGACUUUCUGGUCUGUAACUGACGCUGAUGUGCGAAAGCGUGGGGAUCAAACAGGAUUAGAUACCCUGGUAGUCCACGCCGUAAACGA